rnacentral:rRNA from 1 species
CCUACGGGUGGCAGCAGUAGGGAAUUUUCUGCAAUGGGGGGAACCCUGACCGAGCAACGCCGCGUGUAGGAAGAAGGACUUCGUUCUGUAAACUUCUGUUAUAAAGGAAGAAAGACGGAUGGAGGAAAUGACAUCCGAGUGACGGUACUUUAUGAAAAAGCAACGGCUAACUACGUGCCAGCAGCCGCGGUAAUACGUAGGGUGCAAGCGUUAUCCGGAAUUAUUGGGCGUAAGGAGUGAGCAGGCGGCAGCUAAGGUCUGUGGUAAAAGCCUGAAGCUUAACUUCAGUAAGCCAUAGAAACCGGGCGGCUAGAGUGCAGGAGAGGUGCGUGGAAGUCCAUGGGUAGCGGUGAAAUGCGUAGAUAUAUGGAGGAACACCAGUGGCGAAGGCGACGAUAUGGCCUGCAACUGACGCUCAGUCCCGAAAGCGUGGGGAGCAAAUAGGAUUAGAUACCCGGGUAGUC